rnacentral:rRNA from 1 species
GACGAACGCUGGCGGCGUGCUUAACACAUGCAAGUCGAACGGUAAGGCCCUUCGGGGUACACGAGUGGCGAACGGGUGAGUAACACGUGGGUGAUCUGCCCUGCACUUCGGGAUAAGCCUGGGAAACUGGGUCUAAUACCGGAUAGGACCACUGCCUACAUGGGUGGUGGUGGAAAGCUUUUGCGGUGUGGGAUGGGCCCGCGGACUAUCAGCUUGGUGGUGGGGUGAUGGCCUAACAGGGAGACGACGGGUAGCCGGCCUGAGAGGGUGACCGGCCACACUGGGACUGAGAUACGGCCCAGACUCCUACGGGAGGCAGCAGUGGGGAAUAUUGCACAAUGGGCGCAAGCCUGAUGCAGCGACGCCGCGUGAGGGAUGACGGCCUUCGGGUUGUAAACCUCUUUCAGCACCGACGAAGCGCAAGUGACGGUAGGUGCAGAAGAAGGACCGGCCAACUACGUGCCAGCCGCCGCAGUAA